AUUGAACGCUGGCGGCAGGCCUAACACAUGCAAGUCGAGCGCGAAAGUUCUUCGGAAUGAGUAAAGCGGCGGACGGGUGAGUAAUACAUGGGAAUCUGCCUGGUAGUGGGGACAACGUUUCGAAAGGAACGCUAAUACCGCAUACGCCCUACGGGGAAAGGGGGGAGUCUUCGGACCUCUCGCUAUCAGAUGAGCCCAUG
rnacentral:rRNA from 1 species